rnacentral:rRNA from 1 species
AGUGAACGCUGGCGGCGUGCUUAACACAUGCAAGUCGGACGAGAACGGAUUAUAGCUUGCUAUAAUUGUCAGCUAAGUGGCGCACGGGUGAGUAAUGUAUAGGUAAUAUGCCUCUUACUAAGGGAUAACAAAUGGAAACGUUUGCUAAUACCUUAUACUCCUUAUUAACAGAAGUUAAUAAGGGAAAGAUUUAUUGGUAAGAGAUUAGCCUGUAUUGUAUCAGUUAGUUGGUGGGGUAAUGGCUUACCAAGACUAUGACACAUAACUGGUUUGAGAGGAUGAUCAGUCACACUGGAACUGAGACACGGGCCAGACUCCUACGGGAGGCAGCAGUGGGGAAUAUUGCACAAUGGACGAAAGUCUGAUGCAGCAACGCCGCGUGGAGGAUGACACAUUUCGGUGCGUAAACUCCUUUUAUAUGAGAAGAUAAUGACGGUAUUAUAUGAAUAAGCACCGGCUAACUCCGUGCCAGCAGCCGCCGUAA